UUGCCUGAACUGAUGAGAAGACUUCUGCUCACAUCAGGGCCUGGAGCACCCCUGCAUAUAUCACAGAGGAGACAAUUUUGAAGCCAACAAAGGAGCCAUUUCAGGUGCUGAAGCAUCAAUGCCUGAUGAACUUCCAGGUGCCAUUUUAUACUGAGAACUCAGAAGAGAGCAGCUAUAUUAGAAAGGUCAUCAGCAAUCCAUCCUUUCAUUUUAAUCAGUUGCUGUAGGUGGCGCUACCCAUGAUGUCUCUUGACAAGGUCUGGACAUUGGGGGAGACUCCCAAGAAGAGGGGAGUUUCUACACUUCCCAGAAGAUGUGAACACAGGAGUUUCCACAGCAAUGCUUACUAAUACUCUUCUGUUUGUUUU